ACUAUACAAGAACAAGAGUUCGUAAAAGAAAAUCGUUGCCAUUUGAAUUGUAAUGAUUUUUUUUCUCUUUUGGUUUGUAGGAUGCAUCGAAGAAGAGUGUGUUGAAUUUGUUAGAGAAGAAAGGGAAUAAAACUGAAUUUCAACUAGGAUUCAAGUUUUUUUUUUUGUGUGGUAUGUGAUGAUCAAGUUUGGUUUUUCAAUCUGGAGCUGUUAUGGUUGACGCUAUGUUGUCAGGAAACCGGCUGUCGCUAUGAUAGCUGGUCUUAGAGAGGCUUUAUUAGUUCAUUGCUUUUCUGAGAAGUUUGAGGUCCUAAAUACAGUCUCAUGGACUUGUGUUCUUGAGACUCUCUCUCUCUCUCUCUCUAUAUAUAUAUAUAUAUAACCUUUUUUGUUCCUAUUGGUUGCUAAAGAAAUGUGAUCUCAUUCGCUGCCGAUGCUGCAGGAAAGCUAGCAUAUAGAUUGAAGAAAUCAGGGGAAAAGAGCUGAAUUGAAGAUAAUAUUGAUCCAAGUUUCUGGCAACUGAUUUGACAUCCCAGGGAAAAAGUGCUCAUUGUGAUGAGGACUCAAAAGGUUCAUGAAUAUGUUGUUGAAUUUUGGCUCUUGACGAUGCUGUUUUACCAAAUACCAAUUCUAUCCGUUGAUUCUACUGGUAUGGAUUAAGAUUUAGAUUUAUUUUGGAGAAUUUGAAAGUUGUAGCCUUUUCUUGGCUUGCAAUUAAAGUGCAUGGUCUAUGUUUCAGAAGGACUUCCUUGUUCCUCCACACAAAUUCCGUAAUGAGUUGUGGAUGUAGAGAAAUGCAUUCUGUAUAAUUUUUCUUGAAUAUAUAUAACUAUCAAUUGUAUGGAUUAAGAAAAUUUAGAACGGCCCUUUAUUUGAAUGUUGUGUCAUAGAUCUGCUGGAAAAGCGUUGUAUCAAUUGCUUGAAUAUAUAUAACCAUCACAGGGGCUUAGUUAAAUUGCUAUUGACUCCUAGGGAUAUGAAUAAAUUUAUUACUUUGCGAAUGUAGAGGGUGUACCAGCGAGUGCAGUCAGAGGACAUAGUUCAGGGAUCUUACUGCACUACUUGUGCACAUGUGAUUAUUUUCUUUCCAUUUUUUCUCGUUCGGCUUGAAUUGUUGCUUAGUUUAUCGUUUUGUCCUUUCUGAAUCUCCCAAAAAGAGAGAUUGUCUCGUUCACAAAAGGUCUUUCCUUGGGCUUUUGCUAUCAUUCCAGAUACUUCUGGCAGCAGGUGAUACAUUAAGGGCAGCUUCCAGUGACCAGUUGGAGAUAUGGGCUGAAAGAACUGGGUGUCAGAUUGCUGUGGCUGAAGGAGAGAAGGCCUAAUCAUCAUCAGAUAGACAACUACUUUAGCCUUUUGCCAAUCUUUAAAAGUUUGAAUACUUGGCAUGGCUACUAACAUAUGAUCUUGAAGUGUUUUUCAAAUAGUUCUUUCUCAGGCUGUAAAGAAAGGGAAAGAACAAGAAUUUGAUAUUGUUUUGUGUGACAGAUCUUGAUGCAUGUCUGCAGAUAUUCCAUGAUUAGCUAUCCAACUUCUAUGUGCUUUCUACCUGUUAUGUCUUAACUGAAACCUAUAUAUAUAUAUUUAUCAGGUCUCUCCACACUAAUUACAGCCUCAUGGAUGAGUUAAAAGCAUGUAAGAAAGCUGCGGGGAAAAUAGUACGUGGUGCACCUGAUGUAAGCUGUGAUCAUGAUGUUUUAUAUUCAAGUCAUUGCUUCUGUACCAUUUAUUUCUGUCUCCAACACCAUCUUUCAUGGUCAAUUUACACAUUCCUAAUCUGAAAGAUUUUGCCAGAAAUUUUAAUCCUUUGAGAUCUCUUGUUUGGUGUUUUAUAGUUACAGUUCUAUCUGGAUUUUUUACAUAAGAUAUAUGGUUAUAAUCAUCGGUUAUGGAAAACUCGUUUUAGGGAUGAAAUAUCAUCAAGCAGUUGAUAAUUACUCUUAAAAAUUGCUUUGCACUGCCAAAGACUAAGCUUGAACAAUUCUUGUAGAAUGGAUCAGCAAAAUAUUUUAGUGAUUGCCUCUUCAUUUAUAUCGUGUAUGUUCUCAACGUUUUUGUUGGCAUUAUUAUGCCCGUGGUAAUUUUUGGAAGAAAGGAACAUUCUUAGAACAGCCAAAGGAUUAAUCCAAAAGGAGGAAAGGGAGAGAGGCCACAGUCUAAACAUGAUUAUCUAGGUGCAGAAACACGACCUAACAACCUUUUUGAGGAAUGAACAAUUAGGUUGUUGGAAUAACUGGUUUCAUUUUGACAAAACUCAAUGGUUCUGCUAGAGGCGGCUGUGUGGUCAGUGUGGAUGACGAGCCUGGCAUCCCUGUAAAGUUCGUGGGUGUUGGAGAAGGUGUAGAAGACCUUCAACCCUUUGAUGCCGAGGCUUUUGUUAAUGCCAUAUUUUCUAAGGGACGUUCAUGUCCCAGAUGGUGUGAAUAUGCAAGUCCGAUUUAAUAAUAUUGCCAGAGAUGCUUCAUCAUUUGAAAAGGUGAUUGCAGUUGGCCAUGAUGCAUAUCUAAUUUCCAAGCUAGGAAGGAAUCUUAUAAUUUCUAUCCCUGUAAACUUAUCAAAGAAGCAUGCAUCUAAAUGCACAACAUUACAGAGGACGCAAAGGCAACGGCAGCAGCUGCUGCACGCAGAAGUGAACACAAAUGACCCACAAAAAUACUAAAUUGCUUUUCUAAGAUUAUUAUGUCCUGUUUUGAGUUCAAGCACGCCCACACACUCGCACACUUUGAAAGGCACAUUAACAUAAACUAUCAGAUACCUACAACAGGAUAUCAGAAUACUGCAACGAGCAUCUCAUUCUUAUUGAACAAAUUAAAAGAACUCGUUAAUGUUUGCAGGCAAAGCAUUCAAA